UACAGAGGGUGCGAGCGUUAAUCGGAAUUCCUGGGCGUAAAGCGCACGUAGUCGGCUUUGCAAGUCGGUUGUGAAAUCCCCGGGCUCAACCUGGGAACUGCAUCCGAGACUGCAUUGCUAGAGUAUGGGAGAGGAAAGCGGAAUUUCUGGUGUAGCAGUGAAAUGCGUAGAUAUCAGAAGGAACAUCAGUGGCGAAGGCGGCUUUCUGGACCAAUACUGACGAUCAGGUGCGAAAGCGUGGGGAGCAAACAGG
rnacentral:rRNA from 1 species